rnacentral:misc_RNA from 1 species
AAAAAAAAAAAAAAAAAAAACCAGAAGUAAUGGUGCCAAUUAUCCAACAAAUCAGGGGAAGAACAAAGAGAAGAAUGUUUACAACUUUGAAUAAAUCAACAGUCAAGACUGAAGAGAGCUUUAAGUUAUGAGGAAACAUGGCAAUCAUGAUUGAUAUGGCCUGUGUGCUUUGUCUGUCAGGAAGUAAAAUCCCCCAAAAAAAAAUUAUACAAACAAACUCUUAACUGUCUACCACUACUCAUACCCUGGGGAUUGAUCAGUGAUUAACUACAGCCAUAGAGGAAGAUGAAAAGAUUAUGAUGGAGACAUCAAAAUUUUUAUGAUCAUCCAAAAAACAAUCAGGAAUAUCACUCUUGAAAACCAAAGAACUAUCACCUUUUAAGUUGUUCGAAUAUUAGAGCCAGAGUAAGACACACAGCCACCGCACCAUCUACAUGAUAUGCAUCCAAAAAAUUUUGAUACUACAAUAUUUAUCAAGGUUUACAAACAUGGCCCAGUCAUUAAAUCAACGAAGGCAG